UACGUAGGUGGCGAGCGUUGUCCGGAUUUACUGGGCGUAAAGGGCGUGCAGGCGGUCUGCUAAGUCUAGGGUGAAAGCUCCCGGCUCAACUGGGAGAGGUCCUUGGAUACUGACAGACUUGAGGGAGGCAGAGGAGAAUGGAAUUCCCGGUGUAGUGGUGAUAUGCGUAGAUAUCGGGAGGAACACCAGUGGCGAAGGCGGCUCUCUGGGCCCUACCUGACGCUGAGACGCGAAAGCGUGGGGAGCGAACCGG
rnacentral:rRNA from 1 species